rnacentral:sRNA from 1 species
GUUUUUUUUCUCCUUCGGGAUCUCUUUUUUUUUUUUUUUGGUUUUAUU